CAGUAGCCACGGGAACACGGAGGGUGCAAGCGUUAUCCGGAUUUAUUGGGUUUAAAGGGUCCGUAGGCGGAUCUGUAAGUCAGUGGUGAAAUCUCACAGCUUAACUGUGAAACUGCCAUUGAUACUGCAGGUCUUGAGUAAAUUUGAAGUGGCUGGAAUAAGUAGUGUAGCGGUGAAAUGCAUAGAUAUUACUUAGAACACCAAUUGCGAAGGCAGGUCACUAAGAUUUAACUGACGCUGAUGGACGAAAGCGUGGGGAGCGAACAGGAUUAGAUACCCCCGUAGUCCCUGUCUCUUAUAC
rnacentral:rRNA from 1 species